GCGGUGGGUUCCCAGAGUGUGGCAAACCCCUCUCCUUCGGGAUUGAGGGUGGGACUUGUUCCCUACAUCGUUUGCCUCCGAGGAACUAAUAUCGCCUAAUCCUUUAUUCAAAAAAAAAAAAAAAAAAAAAGAGGAGGGCUUUUUCAAAUGGGUCUCAUCUUCUUGCAAAUAUAUCGAGGAAUUAGUUGUUCAAGGUGUUCAAAAUAUAGAAAAGAUCACCAUUGAGAGCUCGUCUUUGGCAUCCUUUAGUCUUGUGCAGCACUGUGGGUAACUUGUCAUCCUUAACAUCUCGGGUGAGAAACUUGAAGACAUAAGCAUCAACUGGACAUUUGAUUCAAGUAGUACUAAAUCUUUAAAUAUAUCUGCACCAAAUCUUGAAUGUUUGAACUGGUAUGGAAAUUUGGUGAAUCACCCAAAUCUUUAAAUGUAUCUUCUCCAAAGCUGUGAUUUACUGGAGCCUACAAAAGCAGGCAUUGACAACGCAUUUGAGGUUGUUUGCAGUUUAUCCAGGGUUGAAGAUCUUACUCUAAACCCAGAGACCAUGAAGGCAAAGAAAUUUAUGGCUCUUCUUCGCGAAGGAUCAAGGCCACCACCAUUUGAUAAUACAUCUGGGUUACUGUGAAGCUGCCCGAUGGGUCUAAAGAAAUUGAGUUAGCAAGGUAUAUGCUUGAGCAUGCUCGAAAUUUAACAAUAAUGGUCGUAAUUUUUACGUCUCAACAUUUGGAGAAAGUUACGAUGAAGUUGAAGACUAGGAAGAUGGUUUCCGGUGCUGCAGUUGUCUUUCAGGAAUACAGAUACCAAGUAACCAAUUCCUAUACUUUGUUUGUCAGAAUUUGAAAUAUGCUAUCUAUCA